UACGUAGGGCGCGAGCGUUGUCCGGAAUUAUUGGGCGUAAAGAGCUCGUAGGCGGCCUGUUGCGUCCGCUGUGAAAUCCCAGGGCUCAACCCUGGGCGUGCAGUGGAUACGGGCAGGCUGGAGGCAGGCAGGGGAGAACGGAAUUCCCGGUGUAGCGGUGAAAUGCGCAGAUAUCGGGAGGAACACCUGUGGCGAAAGCGGCGCACUGGACCAUAACUGACGCUGAUGCGCGAAAGCUAGGGGAGCAAACAGG
rnacentral:rRNA from 1 species